UUCACACAACCCAUGUAAUAUAUAAGGGAAAGAGAUACAUAGUUGGCUUACAAUCGCCACUUCACACAAUUACAUGAAUAAAGCAUUACAUCAACCAGAUACAAUCAUGGUCCGACUACGGAACCAAAAUAAAAGAAGACUACCCCAAAUGCUACACAGAUCCCCGAUCGUCCCGACUGGGCUCCACUACUGAUCAACUAACACGAAACAACACAAAGGACAAGAUCUCCAUCGAGCUCCUCCUUGAUCUCGGUUGCGUCAUCUGCACGGACUCAUCGGCACCUGCAAACUGGUUUUGGAAGUAAUCUGUGAGCCACGGGGACUCAGCAAUCUCGCACCCUCGCGAUCAAGACUAUUUAAGCUUAAGGGUAAGGUAAAGGUAUGAGGUGGAGCUGCAGCGAGUGACUAGCAUAUAUGGUGGCUAACAUACGCAAAUGAGAGCGAGAAGAGAAGGCAAGAGCACGGUCGAACAACUAUGAUCAAGAAGUGAUCCUAGAACAACCUACAUCAAGCAUAACUCCAACACCGUGUUCACUUCCCGGGCUCCGCCGGAAACAGACCAUCACGGUUACACACGCGGUUGAUGUAUUUUAAUUAAGGUCAACUUCAGGUUUUCUACAACCGAACAUUAACAAAUUCCCAUCUGCCCAUAACCGCGGGCACGGCUUUCGAAAGUUCAAAUCCCUGCAGGGGUGUUCCAACUUAGCCCAUCACAAGCUCUCACGGUCAACGAAGGAUAUUCCUUCUAGCGGGAAGACCCGAUCGGACUCGAAAUCCCGGUUACAAGACAUUUUGACAAUGGUAAAACAAGACCAGCAAAGCCACCCGAAUGUGCCGACAAAUCCCGAUAGGAGCUGCACAUAUCUCGUUCUCAGGGCACACCGGAUUGUCCAAACUUCCGGUAGGCCAGCCCAGAGUUGCCCCUGGUGGCCACCGGCAGCUGACAAGGUGGACCAGCACUCAGAGGAGCACUGGCCCGGGGGUUUAAAUAAAGAUGACCCUUGAGCCGGCCGACUCAAGGGAAAGAAAAGGCUAGGGGGCGAAUGGUAAAACCAAUGUUGGGCCUUGCUGGAGGAGUUUUAUUCAAGGCGAACUGUCAAGGGGUUCCCAUUAUACCCAACCGCGUAAGGAACGCAAAAUCCGGGAACAUAACACCGAUAUGACGGAAACUAGGGCGGCAAGAGUGGAACAAAACACCAGGCAUAAGGCCGAGCCUUCCACCCUUUGCCAAGUAUAUAGAUGCAUUAAUUAAAUAAGAGAUAUGGUGAUAUCCCCACAAGUAAACAUGUUCCAACAAGGAACAACAUCUCCAUGUUCCAACAAGGAACAAACUUCAAUCUUCACCUGCAACUAACAACACUGUAAGAGGGGCUGAGCAAAGCGGUAACAUAGCCAAACAACGGUUUGCUAGGACAAGGUGGGUUAGUGGCUUGGUUCAACAAUAUGGGAGGCAUGAUAAGCAAGUGGUAGGUAUCGCAGCAUAGGCAUAGCAAAAGAGCGAGCAACUAAGCAAGCAAAGAUAGAAGUGAUUUCGAGGGUAUGAUCAUCUUGCCUGAAAUCCCGCAAGGAAGAAGAAUGAGUCCAUGAAGAAGGCAAACGCGCGGGGUCCUCCGCGGGUGGCGGCGGCGGUGGUUGGGCCCCGCGGGCCUGCGAUGGGCCUGCAGGGCCGGCGUGGUGAAGGGAGAGGAGAGAGAGGGUGAGGCGCUGAGGUGGCGAUGGCCGGUUGGCUGCGGUGGCGUGGAGGGCAACGUGGCGGCCUCUGGUUGGUUAGAGUGAGGUGGAGGCUGGACGUGUCCGGCGGGCGCGGACAUGUCCGGCGGCGGAGUGGGAAGACGCUAGGGUUUUGGACUGCGCAAAAAAUCGGGGAGAGCCACAUAUUUAUAGGUAGAGGGAGCUAGGAGAGUCCAAAUGAGGUGCGGUUUUCGGCCACGCGAUCGUGAUCGAACGACCGAGAUGAUGGAGGACGUUUAGGUGGGUUUUGGGCCACUUUGGAAGGGUGUUGGGAUGCAGCACACAUGAGGCCUUCUCGGUCCCUCGGUUAACCGUUGGAGUAUCAAACGAAGUCCAACUGGUACGAAACUUGACAUGCAGUCUACGGUAGUAAACCAAGGCCACAUGACAAGUCUCGGUCCAAUCCGGAAAUGUUUAAUGCCCACACACGAAAAAGAAGGUAGAAAGGGACACCGGGUGACAUAGGAGCGCCGGAUUGCAAAACGGACAACGGGGAAAAAGCUCGGAUGCAUGAGACGAACAUGUAUGCAAAAUGAAAUGCACAUGAUGACAUGAUAUGCAAUGCAAGACACGCAAGCAAUGAUAAGGCAACAACAGCGAAUAACUGGACGACACCUGGCACAACGGUCUCGGGGCGUCACAUUUAUGUACCCAACAAUAUUAAAUGUUGAUUAACAUGGCAAGGGGUGAAGCUCAACAAAACUACCUAUCUAGGCAAGUUUAAAUGAGGCAGGAACAACAAACAACAAGUCCGGAAAAGUCCUCAUGUGCAUGUUAAUGGAAUUGGUGCUGUUCUGCCCUAAACACAAUUUUAGGGUUAUUAAACAUGCAAAGAAAGUGAACCAUGGUAAACUAGGCAUUUUUCCCACCCCAUUUACAUAUAAAGUUCAUUAAAUUCCGAGUUACGGUUAUUUAGUUAUGAAUUAAAGCAUUUUAACAUGACAUAGGAGCAAAUUUAAUCAAAAAGCAUUUUAAACAUUUCAAACAUAGAUGAAAGUUGGAUAUUAUGAAACUAGACAAAAUUCUAAGCAAGUUUAAUAUAUAAUUUAUUUAGAUCCGAUGCACGGUUAAUUAGUUAUUAGAUGCAUGAAGUCUAGGGGGUUUUCCGCAAAAACUGCUGUCUCUGGAAUAUUAUCUAAAUUGUCCACUAAAAAAUAGGAGUUGGGCCGAAAUUGGCUGGCCCAACCAUGCACAGUGGGGGUUAGGGCGGCUGCUCACAGUGGGUUGGCUUCGCGCGAAUGGGCCGGCAGCUUGCGACCGGGAAGUCAACGCGGGCGCUCGUCGUCCUCGUCCCCGCGUGCUCACAUAGAAGGAGGGGAGGCGGUGGGCGAUGCAGGGGAAGCAUAGGCGCGGCGGUCUCGAGCGGCAGCGGGCUCUAGAGAAGGCCGGCGAGGUGCAGACGGGGCGGAUCCGGCGCGGCUCGGGUCCUAGUGGCCGGAGCCGGAGGUGGCCGGCGACAUUCAGGGCAGUCGCCACAAGCUGCAGGGGAGUGGGACGCGUCCAUGGCAGGGAACGGCGAUGGGGCAUCACGAGGAGCGGGACGAGGCGCUGGUCGUCGUCAUCGGGCUCGAUCCCGCCUGGAUCGAAACGACGGCUACAGCGGGCGAUGGCGCUCGAUGAUGCAGGGAAGACAAAGGAGCUCAUUUCCUGACGAAGCAAAGGAAAACAGCGGCAGCGGCGGAACUUGGCACGGCGACUCGUGCAACAGGGAAUGCGCGAAGGAAGGCAAGGGCUUGGCGGGACGCUCGCCGGCGACCUUGAGGACGAGCAGGCGCCGCGGCUCCAGAGCAUGGCGGGGCGGCGAGGUUUGGCGUACUCGGCGACGCAAGGAUGGCGCAGAUGCAGAUAGCAGAGACGAGCGGGAAGACGAGCGCGGGGUUGAGCGCUGUAGCGUGGCGCUCGUCUCCUGUGCGGCUCGGGCAUGAGGGGGUCAGGCGGUCGAGGAAGCAGGGGCCCGUCCGGGUGGCCUGAAGAUCGAGAUUGCCAUCGGGUUCUGGCAUCCAUGGCGGUUUCCUUAACAGAGAAACAAGAGGGAGUUGAGUAGGGACCCAGAGAAGAAAAGAAAAAGAAUAGGGGCAGCGCACGAGGGACUGGCCUGGUGGUUGCCAGCGGCGGCGUUCGUCGACGGACGGCGAGGCGAGGAGGGGGCCAGGGACGAGGCAUCGCUCGGGCAGGGGAAGGAGGGGCGCUGCGGGAUUCGAGCGAUUGCGAUGUGGUGGUUGCCUCACUUGGGAAAACGAGGUAGAGUGGGUGGAUCUGGAUCCCGAGGAAGAUAGUGGCGGUGGGUAGGAGGAUCCCUAGAAAUUAGGUGGGUUGUCUAGAUAUAUAUAGUAGGUAGGUGAAAGCAGAGGGAUUUAGAUCAUCGGAUCGAAAUCCGACGAACAAGAAUAAAUAUGCUGAAGAGUCCAAUAAAUAAAACAAUGAUAUUUUGUAGAUGUUUGGGGAUGAUCCGGACCCGUUGGUAACAACAGAGCGGGUCGGGUUCGGGACAGUCUCGGACGCGCACGUGAGGGGUUCGAUGCACUGUGCCGAGAGGGUUUCGGGGUCUGACGGUUGUCAGAGGACUGUGCAGGAAGCUUUGGACUGAGAGAAGAGAAGAGAGAGAGAGACCCGGCAACUGUUUCCGGAGACCGAAAAUGUCUGACGUUUGACCGACUAUAAUGUCGCUAUAGUUAUCCGUUGGGCUAUCAAACGAACGCCAAAUGCGAUGAAACUUGGCAGGCGGCCUACCUACAACAUAACAACACCACGUGCCAACUUUCAACCCAUUCCGAGAACAUUUUUCGGCCACUUUUACAAUACUAUUUCGGACAUGCCGCGGGCGCGUGCAAGUGUGUCUGGACUCAGAACGGACAACGGACGGAACUGGGAAACCCGGACGGAUGCAAGUUUUGGAAACAUGAUGUUGCAAUGCACAUGAUGACAUGACAAGAAUGCAACACGCAAACAAAUGACAUGGCAACGACGGCGAAUAACUGGAAGACACCUGGCGCAUCGGUCUCGGGGUGUUACAACACUCCACCACUACGAGAGGAUCUCAUCCCGAGAUCUAGAAUGGCACCGGAGAGAAGAAGGAAGAGGAAGAGGAAGAGGUAAAACUAAGUUGCUUCUUUGACAAACAAGUGAAGCCAAAGAACCUUGAAAAGGUUGAGCAAAAUGAAAGAAAGAAAGCAACGGAUAAGAACAAAGUUGAAAGCACUUCGUUAAGAAAGAGGAAUAAGAAAGAACUGAUUCGGGUAGCACUUCGGUUGAAAGGAUAUGCAAGGCUUGAUAAUAUGAAAGAACUUGAGCAAAAGGGCACAACACUCCGGUUAAUUGGAUAAGCACGAAAAGAACAAGGUCCUGACAAGAACAAGAAUAAGGGUUGAAGAGAGCCACAACACAAAGCCUCCAGAAGGAAAAGAGAGAAAUGGAAUGGAAUGAACGGAGGAGAAAGUUCGAACGGAGUUGUUGGAAAACCAACAACGAAAAGAUAAGCUUGUAGUGGGCUUAUGGAGAACCUCUCAAAACUUAAGGUGAAACUCUGGCACUAAUGAAAACGAUAGAUUGGAUUGAUAUCAAAAGGAGUCGAUAACUUAUAUCACCGGGAGGAUAAAUGAAGAACUUGGGUCAUUUAUAAGCACCAUAAAUAGCAACCAUCCUUAGGGAAAGCUUUAGGUGAAAUAUAACCCAAGAUAACUCCAACAAAGCGAUUGAUGGAUUGAGAAGAGCUCAUGCUCGAAGAAAUUGGUGGGUUUAACUAUCUCAUUCUUGACAAUUGUUGUAUCAUAAAACACGAACUCAAAUUGUCAAGAGUGACAUAAUACCACCUCUGAUGAUACGGUAGAAAGAAUUGCACUCCGGAUUGCAAAGUGAAGAAUGAUUGAGCUCCUCUGAAAAGAAUCUCAAUGAACACUUCGAAAAGGAAUUAAAUCUUAGAUGAACCAUCAUGUAGAACCUCCAUGAAGAACUCCGGUAACAAAAGAAUGAUCAAUCGAAAUGAAAGAGAAAUUGAAAAAACACACGGUGAUGACUUGCAAUGAAUAGAUGGAUUUACUCGAUGAACCUCUGGAAAGCAAGAAUUGAAUUUACUUGAAUAAACAAGAAUAAGAAUUACAUUAUGCUUAACCUUCACCAAUUUAGAUUGAUGACAAGCAACGGAUCGCAUACAACUUAUUCUCGAAGAAAGGAUUAGGAUAGAUAUGGCGCCAACUUGAGAAGGUCUUCAACGAACCACCGGUGGAACUGAAACAACGGAUAAAUUGGUAUGAUAAAGAAGAAAGAGAAGUCUUAAACGAACCACCGUAAGGAUUGAAAAAGAACGAAUAAAAGAUAACGAAACACCGGGAAGAAUUUGCAAAUGAAUGAAGAUGCUUGAGAGAAUUUAGAUACAUGAGAAUGAAGAGAUCAUGAAUUGAUUAGAGAAUAUUUGAAUGAUGCACCGGUAAUAUUUGGAGAAUGAUAGCUGAAAGAUGAGAAUGAAUAAUGUUUGAAAAGAUGUCCUUCGGAGGAAAAAAAGGGAACAACUCAUGAAAUGCUCCGGGUGGGUGAAAGAAUUCUCACAAUCAAAACCCAUUAUGAGAGGAUAGCAUAAAGCUAGAGCCAUAAAUCUUGAAGAGAAAGGAGCAAGAUUUAGAGGAAAAUCUUCUUCGGUCUUCAAAUGUUCAGAAUGACAAUGAGAACACCACCAAGAAUUGUUGAGGCACUCCGGAAUGAAGAAUGGAAAAGGUUGAGCCAACAAUGAAAAUAAAUUGAGAGAACUUGGAGGAAAACACAUUUGACCGAUGAUAAAUCAUACUUACGUCAAACGUUGACAAGAAUUUAGGAUAGCUCCGGGAAAAUAAAGAAGAGUCAGGUAAGAUCCUGGGAAAAGACCUGUUGGUUAAGGCCCACUCAAAAGAUACACCAUUGAACGAUUUAAAAGAAAGAUUGCACCGGUUGAAUUAAAUGGCUUGAAUUGAGAUAACAACCUCGAAAUAGGUUGGACGGAUCUUGAAUGACAAGACAAGCCUAUUGAGAUAUCUUGAGCACUCCGGAACAGUAGAAUAGCAAGCGGGGAAGAUUAAGAGGUGCACCGGCAUAAGAACACAUUUGAAACGAGGAAAAGGAUGUGAUCAACACCAAAAGCUUGAAUUGAAUCCACCAGAGAAGAAAAUGAGUGACGAGAGACGAACUUGAAGCUUCGUUAACAUCUUCCUGAGAAUCAACGGAUAAAGACAUUGACGGAAAAGAAUGGAGAGAUUUCCCAUCAAUAAAAGGAUACUUUAAUAAGAAAUUUGAGUCCUUGAAGAAAAAGGGUGGGAGGGUGGGAAAAACAAAGGCAACUUGGAGACGAAUGAAACAAGCACCGUUGAGAAGAAUCGAUACCAGAUCUUGCGGAUGUUGCAAAUGGGCGAAUCCGCUUGAAGAGAAGCACACCGGUUGAAAAGGGUUGGCAAGACAAUCUCGAUGACCAAAAAGGAUUGGUAAUCACAUCGGAGUAUGAGAACGCCGCUUAGGAACAGGUAUGGAAUCAACAUUUGACUUCGAAGCAACUCGAAUACCACAACUCAAAAUCAAAACGAAGGAUUGGCUUGCAGAAUAAGCCGGAACAAACAUAUGAUAGAGAUUUCGUCCGAAGUUUUCGUGGUGGGGCCUACACGGGCUCGAUCAUACAGCACCAUCAUGUACAAGGCAGUGCACAUGACAUACGAAGCGUCCCUGAGUCGGCAUAGCCAAUGACUCUUUAAGACACAACGAGACCACUGUAAAACCGACCGUGAAUAGGCGGACCACUAGACAUCGAACCCCAAUUUCGUAUCAUACAUCUGUCGGAAAGAUAUCCUAAGAGCUACUUGAAUUCCCACUUAUAAACUCCCGAAAUUUUCCGGUUAUGCAAUCAGGUGUUGGGGAUACAGGGGAAGCAUAAUAUCUCACCCAAACUAGCAAAUCCUACAUCCAGCUAUAUCCAUCCUUCAACACAUAACCAAGAAACCUUCAGAAAUCGUCUACCUCAACCUUCGAAAAGCAUCCGUUAUACGAGUUAUGGCAAUACUCCCAAACUCCCGCCCCAGUACUGGGUGGCGUCAAGGUUAUCUCACCAACAACUGCAUAAAAGAGAUUUUCAAUGUCGACGAAACUAAACUCAGGUAUUCCAGAACUGCAACGAUAAAAUUGUGACGACAACACCUCGGAGCUCAACUCCCCGGGACGCUGCCACAACCCCUAAAUGACAGGAGGCACCAAGAACAAUGUUCUCGUCACAAAACCAUCGGAACGAUUCCAAGAUACCCGCGUGAUACUAAAAAAAUUAGUGAAAUUUGAGAAGAGAAGAGUCAAAACUCUAUGUCAGGAUGCCUCACCAGAGCGACGAAGGGACUGAGGAGUAAAAAGAAUUCCUAACUCUUUGAUAUAUAUAAUCCUAAAUGACUCAAAACAUUUUCCUAGACUCAACAACGCUAGCUAUUCGAUCAAGCAGGGGGGCUCCUAAGGUCGGGGAAGGCUCUGAUACCAACUUGUAACGCCCUCGAUGCGGCUGUAUCUCUCACAUGUCGAAGCAUGACUUAGAGGCAUAACCGCAUUGAAAGCAAUGUCGCAAGUGAGGUAAUCUUCACAAACAACCCAUGUAAUACAAUAAGGGAAAAGAUACAUAGUUGGCUUACAAUCGCCACUUCACACAAAUACAUGAAUAAAGCAUUACAUCAUCCAAAUACAAUCAGGGCCCAACUAUGGAGCCAAAAUAAAAGAAGACUACCCCAAAUGCUACACAGAUCCCCGAUCGACCCCAACUGGGCUCCACUACUGAUCAACUAGAAUGAAACAACACAAAGGGCAAGAUCUUCACCGAGCUCCUCCUUGAGCUUGGUUGCGUCAUCUACACGGUUCAACGGCACCUGCAAGCUGGUUUUGGGAGUAUCUGUGAGCCACGGGGACUCAGCAAUCUCGCACCCUCGCGAUCAAGACUAUUUAAGCUUAUGGGUAAGGUAAAGGUAUGAGGUGGAGCUGCAGCAAGCGACUAGCAUAUAUGGUGGCUAACAUACGCAAAUGAGAGCAAGAAGAGAAGGAAAAAGCACGGUCGAACAACUAUGAUCAAGAAGUGAUCCUGGAACAACCUACGUCAAGCAUUACUCCAACACCGUGUUCACUUCCCGGACCCCGCCGAGAAGAGACCAUCACGGUAACCCACGCGGUUGAUGUAUUUUAAUUAAGGUCAACUUCAGGUUUUCUACAACCGGACAUUAACAAAUUCCCAUCUGCCCAUAACCGCGGGCACGCUUUCGAAAGAUCAUAUCCCUGCAGGGGUGUCCCAACUUAGACCAUCACAAGCUCUCAUGGUCAACGAAGGAUAUUCCUUCUAGCAGGAAGACCCGAUCAGGCUCGAAAUCCCGGUUACAAGACAUUUCGACAGGUAAAACAAGACCAGCAAGACCGCCCGAUGCGCCGACAUCCUGAUAGGAGCUGCACAUAUCUCGUUCUCAGGGCAACACCGGAUAAGCGCUCCGUACAACUAAAAUCAGCCCUCAAGUUUCCCUGAGGUGGCGCUGCAAAGGACUCUAGUUCGGACCAACACUUAGACAAGCACUGGCCUGGGGGGGUUAAAAUAAAGAUGACCCUCGGGAUGCGCAACUCCCAAGGGAAAAAGGCUAGGUGGCGAAUGGUAAAACCAAGGUUGGGCCUUGCUGGAGGAGUUUUAUUCAAGGCGAACUGUCAAGGGGUUCCCAUUAUUACCCAACCGCGUAAGGAACGCAAAAUCCGGGAACAUAACACCGAUAUGACGGAACUAGGACGACAAGAGUGGAACAAAACACCAGGCAUAAGGCCGAGCAUUCCACCCUUUACCAAGUAUAUAGAUGCAUUAAUUAAAUAAGAUAUAUUGUGAUAUCCCAACAAGUAAACAUGUUCCAACAAGGAACAACAUUUUCCAUGUUCCAACAAGGAACAAACUUGAAUCUUCACCUGCAACUAAUAACGCUAUAAGAGGGGCUGAGCAAAGCGGUAACAUAGCCAGACAACGGUUUGCUAGGACAAGGUGGGUUAGAGGCUUGGUUCAACAAUAUAGGAGGCAUGAUAAGCAAGUGGUAGGUAUCGCAGCAUAGUCAUAGCAAAAGAGCGAGCAACUAGCAAGCAAAGAUAGAAGUGAUUUUGAGGGUAUGGUCAUCUUGCCUGAUAUCCUGCAAGGAAGAAGAACGAGUCCAUGAAGAAGACAAAUGGACAUAGAUGAACGGGUCCUCACAAACGCGACGUUACCGGAACCAACACGAAGAAGCAAACACCAAAAAGAAGCACACAACAUAGUAAACAACCAACACAUGAACAUGGUAUGAUAUGCGGGAUGCGGUAUGCGAUGCAUAUGCAUGAUUUGACAAGGAAUGAAUGAACCUGGCCUCAACUUGGGAAUCCAAGUGUGCCACUGGAAAGGUGAGGUGGAAUCGCUUGAAAACGAUAUAAAGAACGCCGGAAUCAGAGUCACGGUUUGGAAAUGGCAAGCAAUUCAAAUAUGGCACCGGUCUGUGAUAUACAACAAGUAGCCAUCUAAAUGCAAUAAGAUGAACAUGCUACAGCACUCAAACAUGACAACAAAAUACAUGGCAGGGAUCCAUACAUGAUGCUUGACAAAAGAGGAACACUGAGCUACGGCCAAUUCAUCCAUUAACAGGUUCAAACAAGCAUGGCAAAAAUGCAUUUGGCAAACAGAUUUCAGACUUAGUGAAAUUAACACUUGUCUGGAAUUUCAGAUCAGGUAGCACACUUUGAAGCUUGAAAACUAUAUGCUACAGGAACUGAACAUGUCAAAGUAAAGCAUGGCAUGGAGCUACUCAAAGAGCUUAACAAAAGUCCCGUAAUGACCUUGAGCCAAAAGGGAUCAGAAAAUACAAUUGCAAGCAUGUGAACAUGGCAAAAACAUAAUCAAGUUAUAGACUUAGAGAAAAACUGGAACAUGCAAAUAUGAUAGCGCGUAGGCAUGUUUGCGAGCUCGAUGCACUCACUAUAGAGAAAGGCACGACAAACUAAGCAUACACCCAUCAAGAAUAAACAUUUUACAAGCUAGACAUGGCAAGAACAAUAGCAUAGCAUGCACGGAUCAACUAGAACAUCCUCGGCAAAAUCGCUAACAAGUAGACAAUCUGCCCAGAUUCACGAAAUAGCAAAAGUAGAGCUCGAUUGACUCAAGCUAGGGUGCUCCAAAAUUACAAACAAAGACUUGGAUGGAUAGGGCACUACAAGAUUAACAAAUCAUCCUUCAGGUUUUCUACAACCGGACGUUAACAAAUUCCCAUCUGCCCAUAACCGCGGGCACGGCUUUCAAAAGUUCAAAUCCCUGCAGGGUGUCCCAACUUAGCCCAUCACAAGCUCUCACGGUCAACGAAGGAUAAACCUUCUCCCGAGACAUUCCGAUCAGACUCGGUAUCCCGGUUCUACAAGACAACUUCGACAAAGAUAAAACAAGUCCAGCAACACCGCCCGAAUGUGCCGACAAAUCCCGAUAGGAGCUGCACAUAUCUCGUUCUCAGGGCACACUCAGAUGAGACAUCCUACGAGUAAAACCAAACCUCAAGUUGCCCCGAGGUGGCCCCGCAGUCUGCUCGGUCGGACCAACACUCAGAGGAGCACUGGCUCAGGGGGGUUUAAAUAAUAUGACCCUUGAGUCUGCAGAACCUAAGGGAAAUAAAAGGCUAGCUGGCAAAUGGUAAAACCAAGGUUGGGCAUUGCUGGAGGAGUUUUAUUCAAGGCGAACUGUCAAGGGGUUCCCAUGAUAGGCCAACCGUGUAAGGAAUGCAAAAUCCGGGAACAUAACACCGAUAUGACGGAAACUAGGGCGGCAAGAGUGGAACAAAACACCAGGCAUAAGGCCGAGCCUUCCACCCUUUACCAAGUAUAUAGAUGCAUUAAUUUAAAUAAGAGAUAUUGUGAUAUCCCAACAAGUAAACAUGUUCCAACAAGGAACAACAUCUCAAUGUUCCAACAAGGAACAAGCUUCAAUCUUCACCUGCAACUAACAAUGCUAUAAGAGGGGCUGAGCAAAGCGGUAACAUAGCCAAACAACGGUUUGCUAGGACAAGGUGGGUUAGAGGCUUGGUUUAACAACAUGGGAGGCAUGAUAAGCAAGUGGUAGGUAUCGCAGCAUAGGCAUAGCAAAAGAGCGAGCAUCUAGCAAGCAAAGAUAGAAGUGAUUUCGAGGGUAUGGUCAUCUUGCCUGAGAUCCCGCAAGGAAGAAGAACAAGUCCAUGAAGAAGACAAAGCGGACGUAGUCGAACCAAAACUCACCACUCCGGAACGAAACCGAAG
rnacentral:lncRNA from 1 species